UUUGAGGGCUUUUCUCUCUUGAAGAGACAA
rnacentral:piRNA from 1 species